GCGCGGGUGCCCAAGCGGCCUAAGGGGUCCGCCUGCAGAGCGGAUAUUCAUGGGUUCGAAUCCCAUUCCGCGCU
rnacentral:tRNA from 1 species